CCUACGGGUGGCAGCAGUGGGGAAUAUUGGACAAUGGGCGAAAGCCUGAUCCAGCCAUGCCGCGUGUGUGAAGAAGGCCUUCGGGUUGUAAAGCACUUUCAGUGGGGAAGAAAGCCUUGGGGCUAAUACCCUCGAGGAAGGACAUCACCCACAGAAGAAGCACCGGCUAACUCCGUGCCAGCAGCCGCGGUAAUACGGAGGGUGCGAGCGUUAAUCGGAAUUACUGGGCGUAAAGCGCGCGUAGGCGGUCUGAUAAGCCGGUUGUGAAAGCCCCGGGCUCAACCUGGGAACGGCAUCCGGAACUGUCAGGCUAGAGUGCAGGAGAGGAAGGUAGAAUUCCCGGUGUAGCGGUGAAAUGCGUAGAGAUCGGGAGGAAUACCAGUGGCGAAGGCGGCCUUCCGGACUGACACUGACGCUGAGGUGCGAAAGCGUGGGUAGCAAACAGGAUUAGAUACCCGAGUAGUC
rnacentral:rRNA from 1 species